rnacentral:lncRNA from 1 species
UAUAUGAACGAAUUCUAACCGAGUCGUUGGAUGUUCCGUGUCAUCUUUUCCAUUUUAAGACGGUAGCCGUAGUUGUUAAAAUAGGCAGUUAUUGUUUUCAUUUAAGAAAGUUUCUUUAGGUUGGUUGUUGGAUUGUACUUACAAUAACCUGAUUGUAGUACAAGUCUGUACUGUCUGUCAUACAUUGUAUUAAGUAAAAGAGACUUCUUCCUCCCUAAUUUUACAUGAUCUUAGUUUCUCUGUCGUACUUUUUUUCUUUUUUCUUUUCCCUAAUGUGAAGAUAACUUAUUUUGCAGGCUUAGUCAAGGAGUUACAAACCUUCAAAGGGCUCAGCUUCGUCUAGUAAACUGCAAAUCAUCGUCAAGGUACAUGUUUGAACCAACAAUAACAACAAACCAUGUUUUGUUCUCGGUGAAUUUGAAAAUUUGCAUGAAUCAUCCUUUUUUUUUUUUUGGCCACUUUUUUCUUCCAUUGCUAUACUUCCAAAGCAAUUGAAUGCCUAGAUCCUUAGCAAAUCCUACUGUCUCGAAAAUCUCUCGAGAAAUCUUGAUUUCGGACUUCGAAAACAAUCAAACGAACACCAAUAUACCUCGACUCGGCCCAAAACUUCCAUACUUGGUUGCCACAAGUUUCACUCCACAAAGGAGACUAUGGUGGUGGUAUAUGCACUCGACAAAGGAAGGAGAAAGAUGAAGGAAGACACCCAAAAACACUCAAAGCUCUCUAACUCCAAAGAAAGUUGGCUGCCCCUCUCUUUUCUUCUCUUGUUUUCUCUCUUGCAUACUACACACACACCAUAAAACGAUUGCAAAAGAAGAUGGAUAUAUAACGGGUAUUAGGUGUUUAAUUGGGCCAACAAUAGUUAAAUGGGGAAGUUAAGAACCAAGGUAAACUUAAGAACAAUUGAGCCAAGACUCAAAUAUCCAUCGACAACAAACGCAACCCCAACUUGGGCCAUUCAAAAGUGUCGGUUGUAUUCGAGUCGAGCCAAGUCUAUGAUGUUGAUAAAUUAUCCGACAACUGUUUUAAAUCAUUGUCCGAAAUUGUUGAUGGUGGGUUGUGUGCUCAUAUAGUAUAUUUUGCUAUGAUAAAAUAAUUAUUUAUUAUAAAUAAAUUGUGAUUUUAUUUAUUUAUUCUAUUAUUUAUUAUUGAACAUACAAAUUAAAGUGCCUAUGAUCACUUGAGUUAAUCUAAGUUGGGUACUUACGUUGAGAAGUAUAGUGUAACACAAUUUAUAUUUUGAUCAUAAAUAACUUGUCUGCAACCAAUGUAUAAAGGUUGGCACCUUGCACUUGAAGGUUGGUGUUGACCGAUUCACUAUUUAGAUUUGUGAUUUGUCCUUAUCACAGAAAUAGUUAAAGGUGACACUAGACACUUGGAGUGUAUUGAACGGACCGCGUGUCGAAUUUAAUUCUAUAGCAUGACCGUGCAGAGAAUUAAAUUCCACUAGACCGCUAUAUAUUUCAUCUAAAUUCCUUGACAGGAUUACGUAAAUCUAUUUCGUGAUUUUAAUGAUUCUUUGAUUCAUCAAUAGGUGAGAUCAAUUUGAUUUGUCAAAUAUCUCAAUGAGUUAGGAACUUGAGAAUGAGCGAAGUAGAGAAUAUGAAUUCUUGUCGAGAACCGUCAUCCUAGAGAAUGGAUAGGGAGACUAUUUAAGUAUUUUCUGUUGAACGGUUAAAAUCUAAGCUCAGCGUUUGACGACAGCUAAACUUCGACAUCUGUAUUAAUUCACAAGAUCGUUGAAGAAAAUGAAACUUAAGUUAGUGAGAAUAAUUAGAUGGGUAAAACGAUCAUAUAUGCUCGUACCUAAUUAUUGGAUCUCGGAUGGGGAUAAAAUACAUAUAUGGCUGGUCACAAGAAAGUAUUACAGAUUUAUUGGUUUCUGUGAUCUUAUAUAUUCCGAUUUUAGUCUUUUGCCUUUAGUGAAAAAACAAAGACUAAUAAUUAAAUUGGGUGGUCUAGAGUCGACUAGACAAGAUCUAAUCAUUGGAGAUUGGAUAAUAUAUGUUUGAUCAGGUCCCUACGGUAGCUUCAUGAAGUAUUGGAACUUAAUUAUGGUAAUAAUAAUAGUUUUGGGAUUAAUUGUAAUCACAAUAAAGUUUUGUACUUAGUUGUAAUUACUACAAAAGUUAUAAACUUAAUUAUAAAUAUAAUUGAAGUUCUNNNNNNNNNNNNNNNNNNNNNNNNNNNNNNNNNNNNNNNNNNNNNNNNNNNNNNNNNNNNNNNNNNNNNNNNNNNNNNNNNNNNNNNNNNNNNNNNNNNNNNNNNNNNNNNNNNNNNNNNNNNNNNNNNNNNNNNNNNNNNNNNNNNNNNNNNNNNNNNNNNNNNNNNNNNNNNNNNNNNNNNNNNNNNNNNNNNNNNNNNNNNNNNNNNNNNNNNNNNNNNNNNNNNNNNNNNNNNNNNNNNNNNNNNNNNNNNNNNNNNNNNNNNNNNNNNNNNNNNNNNNNNNNNNNNNNNNNNNNNNNNNNNNNNNNNNNNNNNNNNNNNNNNNNNNNNNNNNNNNNNNNNNNNNNNNNNNNNNNNNNNNNNNNNNNNNNNNNNNNNNNNNNNNNNNNNNNNNNNNNNNNNNNNNNNNNNNNNNNNNNNNNNNNNNNNNNNNNNNNNNNNNNNNNNNNNNNNNNNNNNNNNNNNNNNNNNNNNNNNNNNNNNNNNNNNNNNNNNNNNNNNNNNNNNNNNNNNNNNNNNNNNNNNNNNNNNNNNNNNNNNNNNNNNNNNNNNNNNNNNNNNNNNNNNNNNNNNNNNNNNNNNNNNNNNNNNNNNNNNNNNNNNNNNNNNNNNNNNNNNNNNNNNNNNNNNNNNNNNNNNNNNNNNNNNNNNNNNNNNNNNNNNNNNNNNNNNNNNNNNNNNNNNNNNNNNNNNNNNNNNNNNNNNNNNNNNNNNNNNNNNNNNNNNNNNNNNNNNNNNNNNNNNNNNNNNNNNNNNNNNNNNNNNNNNNNNNNNNNNNNNNNNNNNNNNNNNNNNNNNNNNNNNNNNNAUAAGGUAUAGGAUUUUUGGAUUUUCUUGAAUUUUGUGUGAAUAAGAAUAUCUGGAUCAUGUUUGGCUUAGGUUUCAUGUUUUAAAUGGACUUAGCAGCUUGACUGUUUACUAUUUCAGAUUAUUCGUCUUGUUCGAAUUAUCAGUUCCCCACAUUUAUACUUUUGUUCUGUAGAUGCCUUUCGAGCAAGUAGUUCUAGCAAUGAAUCGAAUGAAGUGAUAAAAAUAGCCAAUCCAAAUAUUUCUGAAAUUUUUUUGAUUAUACUUGUCUGUUGCAAUUGACCUCAAAAAAUAGACCACCACUGCAAUAAAAUAGUUACUAUGUUGCUUACUUCUAUAUGAACGAAUUCUAACCGAGUCGUUGGAUGUUCCGUGUCAUCUUUUCCAUUUUAAGACGGUAGCCGUAGUUGUUAAAAUAGGCAGUUAUUGUUUUCAUUUAAGAAAGUUUCUUUAGGUUGGUUGUUGGAUUGUACUUACAAUAACCUGAUUGUAGUACAAGUCUGUACUGUCUGUCAUACAUUGUAUUAAGUAAAAGAGACUUCUUCCUCCCUAAUUUUACAUGAUCUUAGUUUCUCUGUCGUACUUUUUUUCUUUUUUCUUUUCCCUAAUGUGAAGAUAACUUAUUUUGCAGGCUUAGUCAAGGAGUUACAAACCUUCAAAGGGCUCAGCUUCGUCUAGUAAGCUGCAAAUCAUCGUCAAGGUACAUGUUUGAACCAACAAUAACAACAAACCAUGUUUUGUUCUCGGUGAAUUUGAAAAUUUGCAUGAAUCAUCCUUUUUUUUUUUUUGGCCACUUUUUUCUUCCAUUGCUAUACUUCCAAAGCAAUUGAAUGCCUAGAUCCUUAGCAAAUCCUACUGUCUCGAAAAUCUCUCGAGAAAUCUUGAUUUCGGACUUCGAAAACAAUCAAACGAACACCAAUUUACCUCGACUCGGCCCAAAACUUCCAUACUUGGUUGCCACAAGUUUCACUCCACAAAGGAGACUAUGGUGGUGGUAUAUGCACUCGACAAAGGAAGGAGAAAGAUGAAGGAAGACACCCAAAAACACUCAAAGCUCUCUAACUCCAAAGAAAGUUGGCUGCCCCUCUCUUUUCUUCUCUUGUUUUCUCUCUUGCAUACUACACACACACCAUAAAACGAUUGCAAAAGAAGAUGGAUAUAUAACGGGUAUUAGGUGUUUAAUUGGGCCAACAAUAGUUAAAUGGGGAAGUUAAGAACCAAGGUAAACUUAAGAACAAUUGAGCCAAGACUCAAAUAUCCAUCGACAACAAACGCAACCCCAACUUGGGCCAUUCAAAAGUGUCGGUUGUAUUCGAGUCGAGCCAAGUCUAUGAUGUUGAUAAAUUAUCCGACAACUGUUUUAAAUCAUUGUCCGAAAUUGUUGAUGGUGGGUUGUGUGCUCAUAUAGUAUAUUUUGCUAUGAUAAAAUAAUUAUUUAUUAUGAAUAAAUUGUGAUUUUAUUUAUUUAUUCUAUUAUUUAUUAUUGAACAUACAAAUUAAAGUGCCUAUGAUCACUUGAGUUAAUCUAAGUUGGGUACUUACGUUGAGAAGUAUAGUGUAACACAAUUUAUAUUUUGAUCAUAAAUAACUUGUCUGCAACCAAUGUAUAAAGGUUGGCACCUUGCACUUGAAGGUUGGUGUUGACCGAUUCACUAUUUAGAUUUGUGAUUUGUCCUUAUCACAGAAAUAGUUAAAGGUGACACUAGACACUUGGAGUGUAUUGAACGGACCGCGUGUCGAAUUUAAUUCUAUAGCAUGACCGUGCAGAGAAUUAAAUUCCACUAGACCGCUAUAUAUUUCAUCUAAAUUCCUUGACAGGAUUACGUAAAUCUAUUUCGUGAUUUUAAUGAUUCUUUGAUUCAUCAAUAGGUGAGAUCAAUUUGAUUUGUCAAAUAUCUCAAUGAGUUAGGAACUUGAGAAUGAGCGAAGUAGAGAAUAUGAAUUCUUGUCGAGAACCGUCAUCCUAGAGAAUGGAUAGGGAGACUAUUUAAGUAUUUUCUGUUGAACGGUUAAAAUCUAAGCUCAGCGUUUGACGACAGCUAAACUUCGACAUCUGUAUUAAUUCACAAGAUCGUUGAAGAAAAUGAAACUUAAGUUAGUGAGAAUAAUUAGAUGGGUAAAACGAUCAUAUAUGCUCGUACCUAAUUAUUGGAUCUCGGAUGGGGAUAAAAUACAUAUAUGGCUGGUCACAAGAAAGUAUUACAGAUUUAUUGGUUUCUGUGAUCUUAUAUAUUCCGAUUUUAGUCUUUUGCCUUUAGUGAAAAAACAAAGACUAAUAAUUAAAUUGGGUGGUCUAGAGUCGACUAGACAAGAUCUAAUCAUUGGAGAUUGGAUAAUAUAUGUUUGAUCAGGUCCCUACGGUAGCUUCAUGAAGUAUUGGAACUUAAUUAUGGUAAUAAUAAUAGUUUUGGGAUUAAUUGUAAUCACAAUAAAGUUUUGUACUUAGUUGUAAUUACUACAAAAGUUAUAAACUUAAUUAUAAAUAUAAUUGAAGUUCUUGGACUACACAUGUAACGAGCAAUCCAAUUCAAGGGAAUCUUCAAAAUGUAAACAAAUUGGAUGUGGAAUUUAAUUAGAGUUCUUAUUUGAAAGUAGAAUUAUUAUUUUAUAAGGAUUGGAACUCUUAUAGCUCUAUAGAUAGAGAUUAGAUGGAUCUCAGACAUCCUAUGGAAUGGAAUUAAACAAUAUUCAUAAUAUAUAAUUCCAUUUUGUUCAAAUUUUGUAGAGAGAAAAAAUUAUUUUUCUUGAUUCUUUCAAUUAUCCAAUUCAAGGAUUGGUUUCUUAAUUUAAUUAAAAGAAGUUGUCCACCCAUCGGUAUAGUCUUGACUGUGGAAAAUACCAUAGAAGACUUGGAAAUUUGAAGCAUCAAGUUAUUGAAAUUAAAAAGUUGGAAGUUGGUGAUCCAAAAAGCUAGAAGUUCGUGAUUCGGAAUUAAUUCAAGAAUUUAUCGUCGAAUUUAGGCAAAAAAAAUUUGAAUACUUUAUUUUUUAUAUAAGAUACACGUGAACAUCUAGACGUCUUGUUUAUUGAGUUAAAGAAAAUUUUUAAUUUUUGGAUAAUUCUGCUUCUGCAUUCCAACAAUUGGGUAUCAAAAAACUUAAUAAAUAUCCACCUUGAUGCCCAAUAAAUUUGUAAGCAAUCAAAACACAAAGUAUAUACUUGCAUAAUCUAGGUAACCAAUAAAAUUGAUAUAACAGACCUUACCUCGUGUUUCCAACCUAAAUCACAUACCAUACCUGCUCAAUGUACUCAUCAGGGCUAUAAACAAAAACACUCAAGUAGAAGCAGAUAUUCACAGUAAACAAUCAAGAGCAAAUGAACAUGCGAUGAUGAUUUAUUAUAAGAUAACACACUGAUCUUUUUAGAAACACGUUCACAUAGAACCACAUAUUAACACCAAGUUAAUCAAACAUACGGUUAAACUUUACAAAAAGAUCUCACCACACUUAUCCUAUCUCAUUCCGUGUUGCUCACACCUCGAGAACACAUAUCUCCUCUCAUCGCCCACCAUGCUCACUAGACUAAUCACUCAUCUCAUGUCUAACUGGUAAAUCACAAUAGACCCUAAGUUCUCGGAUAAUUCACUAUCACCACAUCACUUCACUUAAUCUACGUGGAUAAAGGGUCUUCGCCUGACAAAAGUGAUAGAAGUACCUCGUUCACACGUUACCUAUACAAGCUCUCUUUACAGAUAAAGGAUUCCAACAUUUAAUCACCUCUCUACUCGUGAUCCAAAUGUUACACUCCACAUCCCCCAUGCAUAUCACCAAUGUACUUUCAAGCAUCUAUACUCCACCUUACCAAUAGACAGUCAACACAUUGCUAAUACAUCUUAAAUUCAUUAUGACAAAUCAACACCUUUCAACGACCAUAAAAGUUAGAGCUCAAUUUAAAUUUACCCACGCACCACAAGGUUACUCCAAACACUAAUACUCAAAGAAUAGACAAAGAAAAUGACGAAGGUGGCACUCAUAAAAGGAAUAGAAGAAAGAGUUUUCACUACACUCACAAAAGAGGCUCACAAAGAGAAAGAAGAUUGCCCGACAUGGUGGCCUCACACAAUCUCACAAACCACACAGGCUCACAAUGAUAAAGGAGAAAACAGCUGCCCAUCAUUCUUCUCACUACCACACUCUUACACCACUCACAGAGCAAAUGGAGUACGCUACAAAAUUCAAUCAACUAUGCAUGUAAACAUAUUAUCCAAAGUAAUAAGAUUACUCUAAUUCAUGCAUUUACACACAUCAAAUGCAUUGAAAGUGUAGCAUAUCGAUAUUGCAACAAAACUAAGUGAUCACACACAUGCAGAAAUAAUUACACAAAUGCACAUACAGUAACUAGAUAUACUCACAAUAAACCUCGUACAAGUCAUCACUCAACCCAAUGACAACAUUCACCUCACUUCUCUUCUUAACUUUCUUUUUAUUAUCAUUACUAAGACAAUCUAUCUCACCGUGUCCAAUUUUACCACAGUCAAAAUACAUUUUAUUUUUCCCACUUGCCUUAGACCUAUACAUGCCAUCAAAACCAAAUAAUGAUCAAAAGCAAAGUAUAAACAUAAUUAACAUAGAAUGAUCAAAUAAACUUUCCUAAUGUCACAUGUAAUUCUAACAGUGUAGAAAAGUUGGCAAACAAGUCAAAGAAUUUAACGCAAGUAAUUCCUAGGUCUAGCAACAUGCAACAGUUAUCCUUUCACAAUAACCCCAAACCUAAUGUCAUCCUCACACGAUGACUUAUAAUACGAAAAAUAAAUAAUUAUUCUACAUAAUAAUUUAAUUGCAAUAAUAAAGGGAAAAGAAUACGAUACCUAGCGGACCACCUUUGAAGGUCCAUAAAUGUCGAGAGAUGCGAAUUUACCACAUUAGGUCCGUAAAGCUUCCAACAACCACAGCAGCACAAAACGGCAUUCUGCACUCGAACGACCAAGGGAAAAAUCGUCCAACUUUUACUGCAUUGCUCAAAAUUGAAAUUCGACAAUAUCGCAGGGUCCGUCUCAUUAUCAGCAACAUUUUGUCUUUUAGCACCAUCACCGAAAUCCUAAUCACAUGCCGCCACGCGCCCUGUCUGCAUCUCCACGUGCCAACGUUGACGACCACGCACUACCCUUCUGGCUUCAUUUGGCCUGUACAAUCCACCGGUAGUGUCCAUUUUUCCAAACAAUUUGUGGUUUGGUCGAAAAUCAACAAAACAGAUCUGGUCAGAUUUUUCAAAAUUCGGACAGUUUUUUUUUCUAGGUCAAUUUUUGCCUACUUCUAGCCACUUUUUGGUUGAAAAAUCACAAAUUUCUCAACAACACAAGUUCUAAUACCAUUUGUUGCAGAAAUCUCUCGAGAAAUUUUGAUUUCGGGCUCAGAAAACAACCAAACGAACACCAGUUUACCUCGACUCAACCCAAAACUUCAACACUUAAGGAGAUUAUGGUGCUGGUAUAUGCACUCCACAAAGAAUGGAGAAAGAUGAAGGAAGACACUGAAAAACACUCCAGGCUCUCUAACUCCAAAGAAAGCCGGCUACCUCUCUUUUUUUUCUCUUGUUUUCUCUCUUGCACAUUACACACACACCAUAAAACGGUUGCUAGAGAAGAUGGAUAUAUAAUGGAUAUUAGGUCACUUAAUUGGGCCAACAAUAGGUAAAUGGGCUACUUAAGAACCAAGGCAAACUUAAGAACAAUUAAGCCAAGACUCACAUAUCCAUCGACAACAAACCCAACUCCAACUUGGGCCAUCAAAAACGUCGGUUGUAUUCAAGUCAAGCCAAGUCCACGGUGUCGAUAAAUUAUCUGAUAACUGUUUUAAAUCAUGGGCCAUAUCUAUUGGGUAUCAAAAAACCCAACACCUAUUAACCAUUUUAAUUUUGGUCGACUUCAUUUUUUAACCUUGAAAAUUUCUAAUUGUUAUGAGAAAAAGGAAGAAGAUUAUGCAAUGAGUUAUGAUUUAGAUACUUGCUGGUGCCAUUAUAAAUGAGCUACAUGCCUUUGGUGUCUAUUAGUUAAUUCCUUGCCUUUUAUAGAGUUGAAACUGUCAUAUUUGACUAUUGUUGAGAACUACAAAUCAUAAUUAUAUUAAAUUGAAAGCAAUCAAUUUGUAAAAGGAAAAAGGAUGCACAAUAUAUCUAAUGUUUGCACCGUUGGGAAUCUACUUAUCAUGCAUAGCGAAAAUAAAAUAAUUUUUCAAUUUCCACCAAGAAUCGUCUUUAUGUUUAGAUAGAAACUGUGAUAAAGAUUAUACCUUUUACGAGAUUUGCAAACUCCUUUGUUAUUCUUUCGUUUCAACGAUCUCGAUUCAUCACCUACAGCUGUCCAAUUGUCCAGCCUCCAUCGUUGAUCCAUAUAGAGAACAAAAUUGUAAAAUUAGAGUUUUCUUCUUGUACUAGCAAGAAUAAUAAAAUUUUCUACAGAUUUUGAAAACCCUAGUCAUAUUUAUAUAAGUCCGAACAUGUUUGAUCUGACCCGAUCUAAUAUUUAAUUAAUCAAUUUAAUUAAAUUCGGUUCGUGAAUUAAUUAAUCCAAUUAAUUAAUUCAGGCCUAUAAAUAAGCAACCCAAUUAAUGAGUAUAUCCAAAGCUUGCUAAAUUAGUUAAUUGACAAAUCACAAUCUUCUAGUUCUCUUUUUGUGUGCGACUCAUCAGGUUCCUGAUCACGAUACCUAACGACUUAAAAUAUUAUUUUGAUGUAAUCAAAAUUGAUAAAUUAAAACACCCUUUUAAUUUAUCAUCAAUUCACACUCCCCGUCCCAGAUUGACAUCUAGCAAUGUGUCAGGACAAUACAUGUGAGGGAAAAAUAUCACGUGGUAUGACAAAAUCAAACUCGUUUGUUUAUCGUGAAUUUAUAAUCCCUUCAUCAAUAUGAUUCGAUCAAUUACAAGAUAUGAAAGUGUGUCAAUCUCGAUCAUUGAUCAUAUCUUUCACUCCACUAUUAAGUCAAUAUAAGUCGAAAAUUCCUUUUCGACUUUAGACUAUAUAUUGGCCAAGGAUUUUGCUAUCGACUUAAUUGAAUGAAAUGCAGAUCAUAAUCUCUUACUAUCUAAGAGUGACGAAUCCUCUAUUGGUCAUUCAUAACCUUCAUACAAUUCUUGACAUAUCCGAAUGGAGCAACAUCCAACACCGUCAAAACAUGACUGUUCUCAUAUACGGCACUAUGACGACCUCAAGUCAAAGGACCAAUUUCACUACUGAAUGUUAGAGAUUAACCACUAAUACUCAGAUAGUUAUCAAUGUGGAAUCUCUCGAUGGGUGUCCAAUGUUUUGUUUUACAACAAAACAUUCACGUAUUCAUUUAAGUGUCAUUACACUUUAGUUUGUGAGAUCAGUUACUUACUUCACAAGUAAGAAAUGUCACACGUGAUGGUCUAUCUGUAAUAACGAUAUCCGUAUCUCAUUAUUACUUACGACCACAGACGAUUUAAAAUUCAGUCAUAUGUAAUUUGUAUCUCACAAUCACAACUCCUUGUAAUUAACAAAUUGUCAAGAUUUGAAUUUACGGACUCUAUUAUUUAAUUUAAUUGAAUAUUAAUUAAAUAAUAUAUCUGCCAUAAAAUUACAUGAAUAUAUAUUAAAAGUAUUUAUGUUCAAGAUUGAUUAGACCUAGGACAUAACACUUUCAAACUCCCACUUGCACUAGAUCCAAUCACUUAUGUAUCUAAUAUCAUAACAGUCUACAUGACGAUCAUAUUUAUGCUACGACAACUCUUUGUCAGUGGAUCUGCAAUAUUGUCAAGUGUGGAAAUUCAUUCUUCUCUUUACGUCAUUUCUAUGUAUUAUCUCUGAUGAGAUUAUACCGCCUUAAUACAUGUUUGGAUCAUUAAUGAGACAUUAGUUUCUUCGCUUUCACGGUAGCUCUAUUGUUAUCACAAUACAAUGGCAUGUGAUCAACAAUAUCGGGAAUUACUCCAAGUUCAUUAAUGAACAUUAUAUCCAUAUUGCAACUCUUUGCUGUUUCUGAAGCAAUCGUGUAUUAGGUUUCUGUUAUUGAAUCAACGGUUGCUUCACGUUUGGAAAUUUUCCAACAUACCACUUAAGAGUAAACCAAUUUCUCCAUAUAAAAUCUUCUCAAGAUUUUAUCUAUGUAGAUUGGGAUGAGUUAAGCAAUCUUCUAUAUCUAUCUUUAUAGAUCAAGAUGCUUGUUCCAUAUCUUUCAUGAAAAAUCCUUUAACAACCAUAAUUUCAACGAUUGAAAUGUAAGGACAUCAUUUCCUAUUAAUAAUAUGUCUUGCAUAUAAUAUUAGGAAUGCGACAAUACUUCCACUAUCUUCUUGCAAACACACAAUUCGUCUUCAUAUUUGAUAAAAUCAAAGUUUUGAUUCUACAUCAAAUUGAAGAUUUCAGCUCCAAGAGAUUUUCUUUAACCCAUAGUCUGGUAUGUAACUAUUGCAACCAAAAUUCGAAUGAACUUUAGCAUGACUAUAGGCGAAAGAUUUCUUCAAGGUCAACACUUAACCUUUUGCUACUAACCUUGCUUUAUAUGUACAGAUAUUUCCAUCUAUGUCGACCUUCUUCCUUAUAAACCAUUUACAACCUAUGGGUUUUAUCCUAUCAGGAGGGCCGACCAAGGUCCAAACCUUAUUCACAUACGUCGAGUUCAUCUCGAGUUUCAUGGCCUCUUGCCAUCUCUUUUAAGUCAACGCUUGACUUUAUUUUUGUGUAAUCAAUAGGUUCAUCAUCCUGAAUCAGUAAUACCUAAUUAGUAAUCACGGAUUCGCACCUUCUUGAAGGUUGAAUGAUCCUACAAAACUCACAUAGAGUUGACAUGUCCUCAGGAGUCUUUACUCCCUGAUUAAAAGUAUGUCCCAUAUCAGAUAUGAGAUCAAAUUCGGAUUUAUCUACUUGGUUAACUUUAUCUGUGGACUCUUGAACUCUUUCAAGUUCUAUUUUGCUCCCACUGUCCUCUCCUAGAGUAAAUAUUUUCUCGAAGAAGACGAUAUGUCGUGAGACGAAGACUUUCUUCACGAUAAUAGAAAUUAUAUUCAAAUAUGUGCUUUGAAUAUCCCACAAAUACAUAUUUAUUUGAUUUAGUGUCAAACUUAUCCGAUUUAAGGUGCUUCAAAUAAGUGUCAUGACCCCAAACUUUUAUAUAAGAUAAAUUGGGACUAUUUCUUAUCCAUAACUCAUAUGGAGUUUUGUUAACCAACUUAGAUGUGACAUGAUUUAGUGUAUUGCACACUGCAAUCAGUGCAUGACCUCAAAACAAUUUUGAAAGAUUUGCAUGGCUUGUUAUUAAUCGCACUAUAUCUAAUAGUUAACGGUUCCUCCUUUCAGAUACACCACUAUGCUGCAGUGUAUAUAGAGGAGUCCACUGCAAGAGAAUCUCAUUCUCUCUUAGAUAAUCCAGAUUUUAAUCUUUAAGAUGUUCCCAUCUUGAUCAGAUUUUGAUGUGAGAAUAUCUCUAUCUAUUUGUUUUUCUACUUCCAGUUUGAAUCCCUUGAACUUUUCAAGAGUGCACGCUUGAAUUUCGUCAAGCAUAUAUGACUAUUCUGUAAUAGUCGUUAGUAAUUUUGAUGAAAUAAGAGAAACUUCACCUGACAUCAUUUGGCAUGGGUCCAUAUGCAUCAGUAUGCAUUAGACCAUUUAUUAUGCAGACAUUUCUCCCUUUCAAAUAAAAGGAGAUUUGGUCAUUGUACCUAAUAGGCAUGAUUUGCACUUGUCAAAUAAUUCAAAAUUAAUUGACUUCACAUACUAUCUCUAUGUAAUAUUGGAAUUGCAUUUCAUCUGUAUGACCAAGUCUGCAACGCCAGAUUUAGAUAUUAUUUAGAUUAUCACUUGUCUUUUAACUUCUAUACUCAUGAUAGAAUGUUUAGCAUUUAGAAUAUAAUUGUUAUUUGUAGCUUACCAUACCAUAAAGAUCUUUAAUCAAGAUAAGCAGGAACAAUAAUUGUCCUAACAUUAAAAUAGUUCGUGUCCAAAUAUGAAAUUCAUUUUAAUGUUCCAGUUAUGGUGGGAGCAGAGCAAUAUUUCUCUAAUUUUAAUACUAAGCCAAAAGGCAACGGCAAGAAGUAUACUCCUACAGACAAUGCAGCAACCUUUACUUAUCUUCAACAUGUAGGUCAACUUCUUCCUUUCGCAGUGGUCUACUUCUAUUUAGUUUCUCCAUAUCUGGUAUCAAAUACCUAAGAAACAAAUGAACUAGACGUAAGUCUUGAAAUAUUUGUUCCAAUGACCUUACAUUCUAUAAUGAAAGUAAGGGUCAUUAGAUUUGAUAUUGUCUUUCGCUUUGACCGUAUUAGCCAUAUUGGAUGCUUUUCCAAAGCCCUUUUUUAAUUUUCUCUUGAUACCCUUAUAGAAAUCAAUGGCUUGUCCAAUAUUAACUUUGAUAUUGGACACAACAAUUUUAAGCAUGUUCAGCAACUCAAUGAGUGUGCAUUCAAUUUUAUUCAUAUCAUAAUUCAUAAUUAGUAUGAAUAACUCUCUGACAGAGAUAGCAGAACUAAGUCAAUAUCUAUGUCAGAACUAAGUCAAUACUUAGUUUGUAGUUCAUGAUUGAACUCAAUUGAGACAAUAUCUCAAUGCCAAUCAUCUUCAGUAAAUGAUUAUUAACUGAAGGUUCCUCUGUCACUUUGCAUCGGUAUAGUUGCUUGGAAGUUUUAUAUCCUUCCACAGAUUAUUAUUAUCAUACAACUCUUUGAAAUAAAAAAUCAUAUGUUAGCAUCUAUACUCUCACAUUGCUUUCGUAACUCAUGUGACGUAAUGUAAACAUUAUACAUGUUGUAGUACUAUUGUCAUCACCGUAUUAUUAUAGCAGCCACAUCUUCCUUAAUUGAGUCACUACCAAGUGUCUCUAAAAAUGGCUACUCAAAUAUGCCACUCAAAUUCCAGUAUGCCACCCAAAUACACAUGGUUACCCACGAUUCAAUAAAUAUAAAUGACAAAAAAGAAUAAUAUAUAAAAUGCAUCAAUUAAUUUAACAUGGACUUUUAUUAAAUUAAUUAUGCUCCCACUGUUUAAUUCAAAUUUAUGACCCUCUCAAAUAACUUUAUAGAGUCCAUACUUGAUCCCUAGUGGGCGGGAAUCCCGCAUGUUAUACCAAGAUCUUGAGUGUACUCAACAAGCCUUAAUAUAACAUUUGAGUAGAUACUGUUAUCAAUUGUAUCUCCAUACAACUCCCAGAUCAUUAAACUAACAACUCUUUGUCUUCACACAUCUUAUAUAUUAGCUUAACAUACUUCUAAAAUUUAUCUCUUUGAGUGUACUCAACUAAAGAUAAAUUUCAACUAAGUCGGACCCAUCAUUCAGAAAUAUCAAAUAUUUGAUAGUGUCAAACAUAUCCCUAAUAGACCAUCCUUGAGUGUACUCAACAAGUUGAGACGAUUUGGGACUCUGAUUUUUCACUAUAAUGAUGGACGGCGAUAAAUGUGACUUAAUAUUUUAUUGAGGGAUUUUGCAUUCAAAAGUCUCAUCGCAACAAUCAUAUAUGUUGUAUUACAUAUCUACCAUGCAAAUAAACAUACAUAUAAUAUAAUGUAAUAGUAUGGACGAUUAUGAACAUUUACUAUCUAGUCUUCCCGAGCCAUAAGGAAGACUAACUGACCAAUUCCUAGGGGUUAUUGCAUUGAUCAUACAAUGCUCCAUCUCCAUGGUCUCUUCCUAUUCUUGUUUCUUUAGUUAGUUCAGUUGCAACCUGUAUCCUAUACUAGUUGGCACGUAGGCCUAAAUGAAAUUGGACUCGCAGAUCCAUAGUAACAAUAACAAUAACGGACUCGUAGGUCCAAAAUAAUUAAGAGCUCGCAGGCCCAUAAUAAUAACAAUAAUAACGAACUCGCAAACCCUAAACAAUUAAGAGCUCGCAGGCUCAUGAAACGAUAAAAAUAAAAUUAACCAUUCAACACAUCCACAUGAUCGAAUUCAUAAUCAUCCACUAAUAAUAAAUUCAUCACAUAAAUGUAUGCCUAUAUAAUAUCUAAUAUUAUAUACAAACACGUUUCAAGAAUCUAGCAAUUAAGGUUGUCUAAACUCUUUUAAAUAAAUGGAUUGGAACAAUUAAAUAAUUAAUUAAUCAUAUUAAUCAAUUAAUUUAAUUAGCGAACAUAUUUAAUUAAAAUCAAAUUUUAAUUAAAUAUCGAAUUAGAGUCCCACUCUAAUUCCACAAUUACAAGACGAAAUUAUUUAAUUAAAAUCAAAUUUUAAUUAAAUAUAAAAUUAGAGUACAACUCUAAGUUAAAUUAAAUUAAUAUUUGAAUCUAGGACAACAUUUCUAAAUAAAAUAAAAUUUAAUUUGGGGUCAAAGUUUAAUAUUUAAAUUAAAAUCAAAUUUUAAUUAUAAUAUAAAGUCGUCAAUUUUAAUUUGGGUCAAAAUUAAAAUGUAUAGGUCAAACCCAUUUAAAAUUCAAAUUUAAAACUAUUUUAAAAUUCAAAUUUAAACACUUUCAAAAUUUGCAAUUUGACCCAAGUUUAAAAUUAAAAACAAGCCCUUCCAAUUUAACAAAUUACAGAAUAGGCCCUUGUUUUAAAAUUGCAACUUUGACCCCUUUUAUUAAAUUGCAAAUGGGGGCCUGCAAUUUCACUGCAUAAUCGUUUGCUGGAAACCCUAAUUUUUUUUUUCUGUUUUUCAAUUCCGGGUGCGGCGCUGAUCUCCGCCCCUUAAUUUCUGCGGCUGGAAGUCACGGCUUCCAACCGCUGCAAGCCGCCCGUGCUGGCGACGUGUGAUGCCGCCGACCACCAUGUCUAUUCCCUUUUUUUUAUUUAUUUAUUUCAAAUCAGAUUUCAAGAGAAUAAAAAUCAAAAUUCUUUAAUUACUAGAAACUAGAAAGAUGUAAAGCAAUCAACUUUUGAUUGUACAAAGAUGUUCAACAAUUUCUAACAAAAUUUUUUAAUUGCUAGAAACUAGAAAGAUGUAUAACAAUCAACUUUUGGUUGCACAAAGAUGUUGAACAAUUUCUAACAAACACAAACCUGACUGUGAUACCACUGUUGAGAUCAUGCGUAGUGAAAAUAAAACAAUUUUUCAAUUCCUACUAAGAUGCAUCAAUGUGAUAUUAUGUCGUCUUCUCCCACUGCGGUAAUUCACAAUGAUGAAAAAUAUUUACAAGAUAAAAUUUUACACCCUUUCUUUAGCUUCUCUUUCUUUUAUGAUGGUAAUACAAAAGUCUAAUGACACCUCCCUACUUAUAAGAGUACACAAUUCCUAAACUAUCUUUACUGAAAUUUGGCUAUGGGAUGGGUCUGGUUCCAAUCUCCACUACAACCUCAUGGCGUACUGGCUCCGUAUAGCGGAAGUAACUAAACUCCACAACUUAACAAUUAUCAGUUCAUUUCAUUCUUUAAAUGUAACUAUAGGAAUAAUUUGCUUUCAAAUUCAUUUGCUUUCAAAUUCCCUUAUUCUGUCAUGUUCAUUUACACAUCUAGCAAUAAGGUUUCGUUUGGUACAUGAAAAAUUGCAAAAGGAUAGUGAAAUAUAAUGCUGAACUUUUAUUAACCAAGUUCUUUAUCAAUCUACACAACAUCAUUCAUAUCAGCUGAAAAGAAAUCAACAGAACAUAUCGCACACUUGCAUGUAAGAAUCUUGUCAUUGAAAUGUACAAAAAGACCAUCCAUGUCUUAUUUUCUACAUCCCCUAAAUUACUUAUCUAGCAUCGGGGAUAAUCUGCUGGAGGAUGAGGUAGGGUCUCUAGCGGUCCUUGCCCAUUCUUCACAAUAAACACCACUGAUAAGCCCCAUGUCAAAUGUAUCUCCAAGUGACAAUGCAUAAACCAAGCCCCUGCACCAUGUCAAAAUAUUCAGCAAUAGUGUCUGUGUAUACAUCACAUUUCUACACUAACGUGUUUCCACGCACUUUCAAACCCCAAAAUGGGACCAAUUCCUUUUCUUAAGAAUAAAUACAAGAUUCGUCACUACAAUAUUGUGUGUACAUGUAUUUGCACCCUGGAAGAGUACCUGGGUUAUCAGCAAGAAAUCUGAUUGCAGCCCAUCCACCAACUGGAACUCCAAUGGUGUUCAUGUAUGGUGGAUCGACCAAGUUGAAAUUGGCUCUAUCUGGAUUGUAAUUUCCGGUGCCAUAGCCGACAACAUAGAAACUAUAUCCAUGAAGAUGAAUUGGAUGAUUUUCAGUUGAGAUAGUCCCUGUAUCCUGCAAGAUAAUCUGAACCCUAGUACCAUAUUCAAAGACGUGAGUCCUUGUUCCGUUCAAUGCAUUAGUAUCAUUAGGAGCAUUAUUAGGAGCCCCGUUAACAAAAUCAUAGAACCUCAGGGGUGAGGCAGGGAAAUCUUCAGUGAAAUGUCCAUUUAUCUUCCUGUAAUAUGCUUCCAAGAGUGAAACACUAGGCCGAAUAAAAGUUAUGUUAUUCAUAGAAGCAGCAAAGAUUCCACCAUUGUUGCCUUGGCAAUUCUGCCGUGGAUUUUUUCUUCCACAUUUUUGCACAUUUAAGCCAAUAGUAACGAACAGAUUCUUAUCUAUUUCUUUUGGAACACUAGCAGGAUUAAGACUCUUAAGCCCGUCCAUUACGGUUUUAACAGCUAGAUUGUCAUUAAAACGUGGAAGAACAGCCGGUAAAGAUACGCUAUUUGGGGUGGCACCCAAGUACUGGAAAUAGGCUACUGAUGUUAUAUUUUGGAAUGGUACAUUUCUUGCAGACAUGUAAGGUCCCAUGGCCAUGGAGUAUCUUCCGAUGGGUUGAUUGGCAGUGAUCAGAACAUUGAGGGUCUGGCCUGGCCCGAGCAUAACACGAUCUGU